rnacentral:ncRNA from 15 species
CAUGGACCCCGGGUGCAAGCCCCGGGUGGCUCUUCCGGCCGCCUAUCCGCCGGAUCAUU